rnacentral:rRNA from 1 species
AACGAACGCUGGCGGCAGGCUUAACACAUGCAAGUCGAACGCAUCGCAAGAUGAGUGGCAGACGGGUGAGUAACGCGUGGGAAUCUACCUAGUUCUACGGAACAACAGUUGGAAACGACUGCUAAUACCGUAUACGCCCUAUGGGGGAAAGAUUUAUCGGAAUUAGAUGAGCCCGCGUAAGAUUAGCUAGUUGGUGGGGUAAUGGCCUACCAAGGCGACGAUCUUUAGCCGGUCUGAGAGGAUGAUCAGCCACACUGGGACUGAGACACGGCCCAGACUCCUACGGGAGGCAGCAGUGGGGAAUAUUGGACAAUGGGCGCAAGCCUGAUCCAGCCAUGCCGCGUGAGUGAUGAAGGCCUUAGGGUUGUAAAGCUCUUUCACCGAUGAAGAUAAUGACGGUAGUCGGAGAAGAAGCCCCGGCUAACUUCGUGCCAGCAGCCGCCGUAACAC